rnacentral:rRNA from 1 species
GACGAACGCUGGCGGCGUGCUUAACACAUGCAAGUCGAACGGAAAGGCCCUGCUUUUGUGGGGUGCUCGAGUGGCGAACGGGUGAGUAACACGUGAGUAACCUGCCCUUGACUUUGGGAUAACUUCAGGAAACUGGGGCUAAUACCGGAUAGGAGCUCCUGCUGCAUGGUGGGGGUUGGAAAGUUUCGGCGGUUGGGGAUGGACUCGCGGCUUAUCAGCUUGUUGGUGGGGUAGUGGCUUACCAAGGCUUUGACGGGUAGCCGGCCUGAGAGGGUGACCGGCCACAUUGGGACUGAGAUACGGCCCAGACUCCUACGGGAGGCAGCAGUGGGGAAUAUUACACAAUGGGCGGAAGCCUGAUGCAGCAACGCCGCGUGCGGGAUGACGGCCUUCGGGUUGUAAACCACUUUCGCCUGUGACGAAGCGUGAGUGACGGUAAUGGGUAAAGAAGCACCGGCUAACUACGUG